rnacentral:rRNA from 1 species
AUUGAACGCUAGCGGGAUGCCUUACACAUGCAAGUCGAACGGCAGCACGGACUUCGGUCUGGUGGCGAGUGGCGGACGGGUGAGUAAUGUAUCGGAACGUGCCCAGUAGCGGGGGAUAACUACGCGAAAGCGUAGCUAAUACCGCAUACGCCCUACGGGGGAAAGCAGGGGAUCGCAAGACCUUGCACUAUUGGAGCGGCCGAUAUCGGAUUAGCUAGUUGGUGGGGUAACGGCUCACCAAGGCGACGAUCCGUAGCUGGUUUGAGAGGACGACCAGCCACACUGGGACUGAGACACGGCCCAGACUCCUACGGGAGGCAGCAGUGGGGAAUUUUGGACAAUGGGGGAAACCCUGAUCCAGCCAUCCCGCGUGUGCGAUGAAGGCCUUCGGGUUGUAAAGCACUUUUGGCAGGAAAGAAACGUCAUGGGUUAAUACCCCGUGAAACUG